rfam:Triticum urartu cultivar G1812 contig1051001, whole genome shotgun sequence.
AGGAGCCAUGCAAGAUGAAAGUCUCAUGCAUGGUUUUGUAUGAGAGAAAGAAGCAUGGAAUCCUAUUUUGACUCUGAC